rnacentral:lncRNA from 1 species
CUUUCAACAGUUAAAGCUCUCCAAAGAUCUGUUGUUAAACAAAUCCUAUCCGGGAUUAUAGCUAAGACUUCCUUAAGCUUCUUUUUCUCUGUCUCAUAAUUUUUGAAGACAUCAGAGGCUGCAGUAUUUCUACUCCAAAAUUCUAUAGAAGGAUUAGCAUAAGUAAAUGCUUCUCUAAUUUUUUCAUAUUCGACAAACGAAUAUGGAAGAUUAUGUUGAAUUAAAGCCACUGCAAUCAUUUCUC